UGCAGUUCUCAGUUUCUCACUCUCUCUCUGUCUCUCAGUCCCCAGACAAACCUUCACUGACUCACUCUCGGAAAUUAUCGACUCCUCCCUCUCUCUCAGUCUCUCUGACAGCGUUUCGACGUCAGCCCGACGGCGUUUCGACCUCAGCCCCGACCUCCCUCUCUCUCUGUCCUGGAUCCCGAUUGCGUUUCGACCUCAGCCCGACGACGUUUCGACCUCAGCCCCGACCUCCCUCUCUCUCUGUCCCUGAUCUCGACCGCGUUUCGACCUCAGCCCCGACCUCGGAGUCUCGACCUCUCCCUUUCUCUCUGACCUCUGUCUUGAUCACGGUUCGACCUCAUCGAUUUGGGCUUUUUGAGCAAAACCUCAUCGAUCUUCGUUUUGGCUGGUCAACAGUCUCUUUUCUUGCGCGCGCGUGCCAGCACCGUCGGGUGCGGUCGUCGGGGGUGUCCCUUGACCUGACUUCUGUUGAGCGAUUGUAGACGAGGAGAGCACUAACCUCGUCGCGGGAUUCUUUGUGCCUCGUGGCGAGGACUUUUGCUGAGCUUCUUGAAAAUCACAAUCGAUACUCGAUGUUGUAGAUCGAGCAGAGCGAGAACCACUGGGAAGUGAGGAGAACUUGCUAAAGCGUGACUUUAGCUUGGCUGGGUUGCUAGGGCGUUACCCUUGCUUGGCUGGUUCUGUAACUGUUGUAGUUGCGGCACUACCAUCGGCUCCCGAGGAGACUAGGACCGAAGUACGUUGGCAGAGGGUUUGGUGGCACUGAAAGUCGGCUUCUGAGAAGACUAAGACUAGGAGUGUGAUCACCGGUAAGAGAAAGAGAAGGAGAGGAGUUGCUCUUAGAGAGGUUGCUCUAGAGAGAACUUAGAUCAUCUUAGAGAUGUUUUGAUGUUGUGAAUGUGUGUCUAGAAUGAGAGGAGAAUGUGUUUAUAUAGGGAAGAAAAAGAAGAGUGAAAUGAUGAGUGGAAGAAAAAUAAUGAAAGUGGAGUAUGAAAGUGAUUUGUAAAAUAUGGAAAAGAUAGAGAAAUGAUGAAAUGAAAGCAAAGCAUGAAGGUGCAGAAACAUGGAAGUGAUGAUGAUCUAUUAAAGAGAUUGUAGAAGAAAAAUAUAUCCAAGGAAAAAGAGAAAAACAUCUAACUUUCUUCAUGUGGGUAGGAAACAUGAACAUGAUGAAUGUUGAGCUGGUUUUAGGUCAGUUUAUGCCCCUUUAUUCCUUCAAUUAUUUCUCCACCAAUACUUCAUAAUGAGCCUUCGACUUCUUCAUAAAAAAUGUUCCACUAUGAGUGUACAUCAUCCUGACAAAUUUUUAGAGCUUUAUUCCAUGCGGUUGGGCCGGAAAUGCUGCUGGACCUCUUACAGGUCCAGUUUUCCAGUUUUACUUCUGUAGAAAAUUGGAUUGAUUGUUUGAAGGCCUUCCACUCAAAACUAGCUCUGUCACUCUUCAUAAGAAAUUAUCCUUGGGAUGUCUAGUAUUAAUCUGGAAAGUUUUAGCUCAUUUAGAUUUCAUUUGGUUAGUCUUCCGCCCCUCCUUCUUUGUUUAGCUCGGUUUCUCCUAGCCGAAGUAGGAAAAUGUGCUAAAGUUAACUUUUCAUGCUUCCAUGCUUCCAUAGUAGGCUUUAUUUAGCCUCUAAAUAUAUAUUUCGAGCUUGUCGACAAUAUAUAGCUUGAGCCACUGACAUUGGCUCAAUUUCUCCAACACAUGCCUUGUCAGGCCAAAAUGUUCAUUUUGGGUCCAAACAUUUUUGUUAUUAUUGUUGUAGAUUAGCUUGGAAUAGACUUGCAGAUUGGGCUAGUUCUAGAUUUGAUAUUGCUGAAAAUGAAGAGGCAAAUGGAGAAAUCUAAGUCAUGUGGUACAAGUUCAACCUCAGCCCCGAAACAUAAAUCGUCUUCAUCAUCUCAGAUCAACACUAGUAUUGGUGAAUCUACAACACCAAUACCUCUCCAUGAAGGAACUUCUGCUGCAACUCCGGAAGUUCAACGAACUCAAGGAAGUCAAGCAACCGAGCUUGAAGAUGAUGGAAGUGUGGAAAGCGUGCUUGAGGCAUUGAAACGGAAAGAAAGAGAUGCUUAAGAUGCCAUGUGGAGCUGCAGUGGGGAGUAGUCGGAGCGGAAUGUUACCUCCAAAGUCGAAGACUUCAUCUAUCCGAGCUUGAGAUCAUGCCAUUGUCCUCCUUCAUAUGUUGAUGUUGGUUCUUUAUUUUUGUGAUGUUUAAUUUUGUAGUGAACUUAUACAUUUUUAAUUUGUGAGGUUAGUGUUGAUGUACCUAUGGACUUUGGACUUUGGACUUUGGACUUUAUAUUUUUUGACCAUUUCAUUUUGAAGUAUGGAAUUAUAUUGAAGUAUU